AGUGUAAUAGGCGAUGGAGUUCUCCUAAACUUCCUUUCGGGCUGAUGGCUCCUACCAAUGA
rnacentral:ncRNA from 2 species